rnacentral:lncRNA from 1 species
UUAUAAUAUUUUUGUUUAAUUUUAUUUCGAAAUUUUUCUAUAGCUGAAAUUGAAUUUUCGAGUUGUUUUAAAGAGUAUUGUAAUAAAUGAUCAGAAAGAUUUUUCCAACAAGUGUCACUGCCGCCACCCACUAGAAGAAAAAACGGUCGUAGAUGCGAUUGUAUAGAGGCGGUUUCUACAACCGCUUCUAUACUGUUAUGUUAAGACAAUUUAGAAGCGGUUUUUAAAAACUGCCUCUAAAUCUGACAUAGAAAACCAAAAAAAAAGAAAAAACUCACAACCCUAAUCCUCGUUAUCUUUUCCCUAGUCCUCAUUGCUCUCGUUUCGUCCUAAGAGCUGCCGCCCGAAAUCCUACUCUGAAUCUACCCCGUUUUCCUCUCUUCCCGGCCCGCCUCCACCCUCCACAACGGUCGGUGCCAUACUCUCUCUUUGAACCCACCCCCGACUCUCCCAUUUCCCUUCACGACAUGAAUGCUGCUAUUUUCGUUCACCCUCUCUUGGAUAAAAUCUAAUCGGAGUGAAGAGAAGAUGCAAUCCCGCUAGUUUGUUGUUCGUCGUCUAACUCGCAACUCUCUUUCCACGAUCAAGAUGAGCAGCAACAGCAGCCGAAGAAGAAGGCUUUGCAAAAAGAGUCAU